rnacentral:lncRNA from 1 species
CAACAACAGAGCUUAGGUUUAUUACCAACAACUCCAACAUAUUCUAAGAGUUUGAAUUCUAUAAACUAUCUUGGUCUUAAACCAGUCCCAAUGAAGCAAAGUGGUGGUGCUGUACAGAAGCCUACAAAGCUUUAUAGAGGAGUGAGACAACGUCAUUGGGGUAAAUGGGUAGCUGAAAUUAGACUUCCUAAAAAUAGAACUAGGCUUUGGCUUGGCACUUUUGAUACUGCUGAAGAAGCUGCUUUGGCUUAUGACAAAGCUGCUUAUAAGCUAAGAGGAGAGUUUGCUAGGCUUAAUUUUCCACAUCUAAGGCAUCAAUUAAACAAUGAAUUAUCUGAUUUUAAGCCUUUGCAUUCCUCUGUUGAUGCUAAACUUGAAGCCAUUUGCCAAAACCUAGCCAAUUCUGAUGGCUUGUCUUCUAAUAAUAAUACUGAUUCCAAGCCAAGAAAGUCCAAAAAAGCAGCAUCCAAAUUGGAUUCAGAUUCUGUUCAAGAUUGUCCCGAAAAUGUUAAUGUCAAGAUUGAGGCCACGUCGUCGUCUUCUCCUACACCGUCUGAGGAAUCAUCAUUAUCAGCAGUGACAUCAUCGCCUGAGUCUGAUAUUACUUUCCUGGAUUUCAUUGAGCCUUCAUUUGAUGAAUCAGAAAACUUCUUUUUACCAAAGUAUCCAUCAGUGGAGAUUGAUUGGGCAGCUCUUUGAAAUUUGUAGUAUUACUUUGUUUUUUCAUAUUGUAAUCUUUAUUAUGUAUGGAGUCGUCAGUCAGGUAAUGGGCUCUUGCAAUGAGGUUUUUGACAUUUGCAAGACUUUGUUUUUUCAUAUUGUAAUCUUUAGGUUUUAUGUUAUGUGUCGAGUCAGUCAGGUAAUGGCCUCUUGCAAUGAGGUUUUUGACAUUUGCAAGAGGUCAGUCGAGUAUUAGAUUCAUGUUGAUAUGGAGUAUUAUGUAAUUGUGGUAGUGGUUUAAGGUCCCUCUCCAUCUUUGGUCAGGCUGUCGUUUUUGUAUAUGCAUGACC